AGAUUUUAUAAACAAUCGAAUCCUAAUUGCGGGUUGUUACAUAUAUAUUAAAGCAUUAAUUAGGAUAUUAAAAGGAAAAAAAAAAAAAUCUUCAUGUUUACAAGGAUGUAUAUAUCCUCUAUGUAUAUUGUGGAUUGAGUAUACAUCCUUUCAGAUGUCUACAUACAAAUAAAGAAAUAAUAUUAUAUGUAUGUAUUUAAUUAAUUUCUAGAAAAAUACAUAUACAGAGAUUGUAGAAUAAUAUACACCAAAAUCAGUUGAUGAUAUACUUUAAUACAUGAAUUUAGUUAUUAAUUAAUUGUAGAAAUGGUUACUAUUGGUUGAUGAUUUAUGGUUUAAUACGGUGAAGAUAGGAUACAAUAUAUAUGUACAAAAGAUUUCUAUAAUACACUUCC
rnacentral:lncRNA from 1 species